GCAUAUUAAAGUUUAUUUUGAAUUUUUCCUUUACGUUGAAAAGGUCUCUUUUGAGUAAUAUGAUAUUUAUAUUUUGG
rnacentral:tRNA from 1 species